rnacentral:lncRNA from 1 species
CCUGCCGCGCCCCAACGGCUGCCGCGCACCGCGCAUGCGUGGGGCUGCCCGCCCCCCCCCGCUGGGGCACCAUGGGAGCGCCCGGGGCAUCAUGGGAGCAUCCAGAGCAUCAUGGGAGCGCCCGGGGCAUCAUGGGAGUGCCUGGAGCAUCAUGGGAGUACCCAGGGCAUCAUGGGAGUGACAUGGGGCCUCAUGGGAGCACCCAGGGCAUCAUGGGAGUGAGGUGAUGCCGCGCGGAUGGAGGCCCCCUGCGGGGACCAGGCUGAGCCGAUGACCCCCGACCCCAGGGCGCCCGGACGCCUGGACCCCCCCGCGGCCACGCCCCCAGGCGGCCCCCGGACCCCCGGCCCCGGGCUCAAGCGCCGCCCCGACGCCUGUGACUGGUCAGUACAGAGCAGGGCAUGCUGGGAGCGCCCUGGGGCAUGCUGGGAGCCAGGUGCCAUGCCCCAGGGCAUGCUGGGAGCAGGGCGCGGUGGCCCAGGGCAUGCUGGGAUGGGGGGGGCAGUGCCCCAGGGCAUGCUGGGAUCAGGGGGCUGCCCUGGAGCAUGC